rnacentral:lncRNA from 1 species
CUCUCAGUUCUUCCAAAACGUUGGCAUUUGUUUCCCUGCCAAGCUUUCCUGUUAACAAGUUCCCGAGGGCUGUGCGGGCGAACUGGCCUAGGAGCCCGAGGUGGGAGGGACCAGGCCGUCCCCCGCCUUCCCUCCCCUCUGGGCGCCCCCGGGGCCGCCGGUUUCCACACCUCCUGGGCAGCCAGGCCGGGGGCCCGCGGGGCGUGCAGAGGCGCCCGCAGCGCCUCGAACCCCGACUCCCACGGCUCUGCCAGCCGGGCCAGAGCUCGGCGGCCCCGCAGGCCCCUCCGGCCAGGCGGGUCCCCGCCCCCAGGCUCCGGCCCCGCCCGCCCGGGCCGCCGCGCGCCGCCCCCCGGCCUCGCCAGCGCCCGCGGGCCGGGAAGGGGGCGCGAGGGCUCCAGGCCGCGCGGCGGUCGUCUCCGCACCUACCUCAGCGCCCGCAGCUCCUCCUGUGGCGGCGGUCUCGUCUCGCGGACGGCACUCACCGCCAGGAGUCCCGGCGGCGCGGGACCUGGGGGUGCGAACCCAGCGCGUGAGGAGCGGAGGCCCGAGCGCGCCCCGCCCAGCCGCCCGCGCGCCCCCUCCUCCCGCUCGGCCCCACCCUCCGCCGCGGGUUCAGCGCCCCGCCCCAGCCCCGCCCGCCAGGCCCCGCCUCUCCCCGCCGGCCCCGCCCGCAAGGCUCCGCCCCCCCCGCCGGCCCGAGGCCGGAAGGGGGCCGCCAGGGGCACCGCGAGAGCCGCUGCCGGUGCAGCGCCCUGUACUGCUGCUUCGCGGGGACGCGGUUCGUGGUGCUCGCUACUGUUUGACGGAUGCGAGUCUCUCUCUCGGGGUAUUGACGCACAGAGAGUUUAUGGGAUUAAACACCACAGCCAGGACCCUGAAGCUGCGCUCUUACUGUGACCCUGCACUGCAUUUUGGUCCAGAAGCAGAGGACUCCACGAAACAGGCUGGGGUAUCCACAGGAGGCUAGAGGUCCUGAAAGGUAAGUUCAUUACUGUAAUAACUUUUCCCUUCUCACCAAAGCCAGAGUGACUGGAGAACGCAUGGGUUUGAAGUCUGACCAGCAGUAGUCUGUUAAAAAGGAAAAUUCUUGGACCCUGCCCCAGACCUACUGAAUCAGAAGCUCUGGAGUUGGGGCCCAGCAAACUGUUUUUAACAAUCCCUCUGGGUGAUUCUGACGCAUAGUAAAGUUUGAGAACUACUGGAUCAGAGAUAAAUCCCAGGGUGGGAUGUGGAGGGAGGGAUGGAGAACAGAUUAAAGGGAAAGACUGGAAGCCAACAGCCCAUUUCUGAGGUUUUUUUUUUUUCUAUGAGCAGAGUAAGAAAUCAAAGCCUGAAAUGAGGCUCUGAACCUGGGCUGUACUUCAGAAUCAUCUGGGAACUUUUAAAACAUACCAGCACACUGGCUUCACCCCCAACCUAUUAGAUCAGAAUCUCUGGGGGAUAGAACCCUGGGAUCACUUUUUAAGCAAAAUCUCCCCAGGUGAUACUAACGUCCAACCAGGGUUAAGAAUCAGUGGUUCUCAAACUUGAAGAUGCAUCAAAAUCUCCUGAAGGGCUUGUUAAACAGAAACUGCUGAGCCUCACCUCCAGAGUUUGUGAUUCAGUAGGUCUGGGCUGGAGCCUGAACAUCUGCGUUUCUACCGAGUUUCCAUAUGAUGCUGAUGCUCCUGGUCCAGGGACCACACUUUGGGAAUCACUGUCUUCUAUUUUGACCAAUAGCCCAGUAGGUUAAGCAGAGUGGAGGCUGUGGGAACCAAACCUAGGACAGGAGCUGGAGGCCCCCUCCCUCUGCAAUUAACUGGGCCAAGCCAGUGAUCAGUGUGCCUAUGAUAUGAUUUGUCUUGCUGGAGAGGGGAAAAAUUCUAGUCAAUUAUCUAGAUCUUUUUACCUGCUUUACAUGUUUAUUACUUACAUUUUUAGACCUAAAACUUAUCUUUCCCCGGGACAGUGGCUGCUUGAGAUUUGAUAAAGAAAGCCUAAUUUUCAAACAUUUCUCUUUGCCCCUUAAAGAAGGAUUCCCCCUAAACAUGAACUUGUAGACUGCAAGUGCUCUGAGGGGAAUGCUAAGGUUUGAGUUAUCAUUUGAGAUCUGUAGUCAGAAAUUGGGCUUUUAGAAUGAUCAUAGUUAUGGGGCAUGCAAUAUAAUACUCAUGGCUCAAACAACUUCUGAAAAUAGUCCAAGGCAAUUUAACUUUUAUUUCCUCUAUAGAGCUUGUCACCAUUUAUUAAUCUUAAUUUCCCUCAACAUUGCAUAUCAGAUGAGGGACCAAUUUUUCUCCUCUGAUUCCAUAACAUUAAUAUUUAAGUGGCAGAGUAUGACACUCAUAAACAGCUACGGAGGAGAGGGGUGAUAUUUCUAGGAAGGAAAACCUAGACUAAAUGCCACAUCAACCUUCUUCCUUAAAAAAUGCCCAAAACAAAGCCAAGAAAACAUGCAGGUGCACUUUGCAGUACAGAAUAGAAAGAUGAAGAGGCAUUGCCUGUGAAAUGCAUAGCAUUAGUAAAAUGAAUAACGUUGUUUCAGAGACCUCCCUCAUAAACUGAAGAACCAUUUGGGGAGGUGGAGGUGGAAGGCUGUGCAGGUGGAGAUGCUGGCAGAAGUCUUUCUACUCUGAAUGCUAAUGCAGCUCACAGAAGAAUCCAAACCACAUUCUCUGCUUGGUUUGUGGCUCCAGGAGGGAAUUCACUUUUAUUACUUUACAUAUCUACUUGGCAUCAGUUACAUGCUAGGCUCUGGGCUACAGGUGGUAGGAACACCAAGAUGGAUGAAGCACAACCUCAGCCUUCAGGCAGCUGGUACAGAGGAUCAGACGAGAGCCCAAGUCCUAUGGGACAUGUGCCAAGGAAAUAUGUAAACAAAGUGGUGGGGCACAUCAUGGGAGCGGGGAGAUUUGGAAGGCACUGAAAGGAGUUUUGAAAGACAGAAUUCUUACAAAUGGAGAUCAGAAAUGUGGGAAAAGUGAACAGUAGUGAUUCACUGUACGUGUCCAAAGCAUUCGUUGAGCCCUUACCUUACGUCAGGCCUACACUGGGUUCCGGAGACGUAAACAUGAGUAAGACUUUUUCCUACUCUCAAGGAGUGAGGAAAACAGGCAAGAUCAAUUACAGUAUAGCCAAGGCUUCCUGGAGGAAGUGAUGUCUAAGCUGAGUCCUAAGGACGAGUGGAGGUUAUCCAGAAAAAGACGGAAGAAAGUGGGGAAGGGAAAGCACGCUACCAAGAGAAGAAACAGCAGGUAUGAAAACCUUGAAGAGAGAGAGAACCAGGUGAUUGUGGAACCGCAAGGGCCUAGGUUGGCCGGAUGAUGCGGUGUGAGCGCAGCGAGGACCAGAGAUGAGGCUGAGGCAUUAGGAAGCCAGAUCAGAAGGGCCUAACUUUAGACAUUUGCCCAUGCAAAGUAUUUAGGCUUUUUCUAUAAAUCAUGGGGAACCACUAAGGGAUUUUAACAUGGGUAUUGUGUGAGCAGAUUUAACGUUUAGAGAGACUGCUCUGGCUAUGGCGUGGAAGAGGGUUUGGUAGAAGGCAAGAGCAGGUGAUGAUUUGUUUAAGAAUUGAUGGCAUUAAGACACGCUAAUUUUUACAACACUUCAGAUGCAUGAGCCUGGAUUACUUUCACUGUCAACUAUUUUUAACAUGGAGAGAUGGUGGUGGAGUGAGUGGAGAGAUGGGUUAGGUUAAAGCGAUAUCAGUGAACUGGAAUCAAUAGGACUUGAUGGCUGAGAAGGUCAAAAUGAUUCCACAUUUUGGAGCCAUAUAGAUGGUGGUGCCAUUCAUAAAGUCAGAAAAUAAAGGAGGAGCAUGCGUGAGUUGAGAGAUAAGA